rnacentral:rRNA from 1 species
CUGCCAGACUCCUACGGGAGGCAGCAGUGGGGAAUAUUGCGCAAUGGGCGAAAGCCUGACGCAGCGACGCCGCGUGGGUGAAGGAGUAUUUCGGUAUGUAAAGCCCUAUCGGCAGGGAAGAAGAAAGACGGUACCUGACUAAGAAGCCCCGGCUAACUACGUGCCAGCAGCCGCGGUAAUACGUAGGGGGCGAGCGUUAUCCGGAUUCACUGGGUGUAAAGGGAGCGAAGACGGCCAAGCAAGCCAGGGGUGAAAGCCCGGGGCCCAACCCCGGGACUGCCCUUGGAACUGCAUGGCUGGAGUGCGGGAGGGGCAGGCGGAAUUCCUGGUGUAGCGGUGAAAUGCGUAGAUAUCAGGAGGAACACCGGCGGCGAAGGCGGCCUGCUGGACCGCGACUGACGUUGAGGCUCGAAAGCGUGGGGAGCGAACAGGAUUAGAUACCCCAGUAA